rnacentral:rRNA from 1 species
GGAGGCGGCAGCUUAACAUGCAAGUCGAACGCUCAUCUUCCGAUGGGAGUGGCAGACGGGUGAGUAACACCUGGGAACCUACCCUUCGAUCUGGGAUAACUUCCGGAAACUGGAGCUAAUACCGGAUACCCCCUUUUGGGGAAAGGUUUACUGUCCAAGGAUCGGCCCCCGUCUGAUUAGCUAGUUGGUGGGGUAACGGCCUACCAAGGCGACGAUCAGUAGCUGGUCUGAGAGGAUGAUCAGCCCCACUGGGACUGAGACCCGGCCCAGACUCCUACGGGAGGCAGCAGUGGGGAAUAUUGGACAAUGGGCGCAAGCCUGAUCCAGCCAUGCCGCGUGAGUGAUGAAGGCCUUAGGGUUGUAAAGCUCUUUUGUCCGGGACGAUAAUGACGGUACCGGAAGAAUAAGCCCCGGCUAACUUCGUGCCAGCAGCCGCGGUAAUACGAAGGGGGCUAGCGUUGCUCGGAAUCACUGGGCGUAAAGGGCGCGUAGGCGGUCUUUUAAGUCGGGGGUGAAAGCCUGUGGCUCAACCACAGAAUUGCCUUCGAUACUGGGAGACUUGAGUUCGGUAGAGGUUGGUGGAACUGCGAGUGUAGAGGUGAAAUUCGUAGAUAUUCGCAAGAACACCGGUGGCGAAGGCGGCCCACUGGACCGACACUGACGCUGAGGCGCGAAAGCGUGGGGAGCAAACAGGAUUAGAUACCCUGGUAGUCCCCGCCGUANACGAUGAAUGCCAGCUGUUGGGGUGCUUGCCCCUCGUAGCGCAGCUAACCCCUUAAGCAUUCCGCCUGGGGAGUACGGUCGCCAGAUUAAAACUCAAAGGAAUUGACGGGGGCCCCCACAAGCG